rnacentral:rRNA from 1 species
UACAGGGGGGGCAAGCGUUGUUCGGAAUUACUGGGCGUAAAGGGCUCGUAGGCGGCCAACUAAGUCACACGUGAAAUCCCCAGGCUUAACCUGGGAACUGCGUGUGAUACUGGAUGGCUUGAAUUCGGGAGAGGGAUGCAGAAUUCCAGGUGUAGCGGUGAAAUGCGUAGAUAUCUGGAGGAAUACCGGUGGCGAAGGCGGCAUCCUGGACCGACACUGACGCUGAGGAGCGAAAGCCAGGGGAGCAAACGGG